rnacentral:rRNA from 1 species
GGGACCAUACAUACAAGUUGUUUGGGCGGUUGGCCCCCUGGGCCCCCGGCCCCCGCUCACGGGGGGCGUCCGCCGGAAGAAAACCCAAAACUCUGAUUAAAGGACGUUUCUUCUGAGUGGCACAAGCAAAAUAAUCAAAACUUUAAACAACGGAUCUCUUGGUUCUGGCAUCGAUGAAGAACGCAGCGAAAUGCGAUAAGUAAUGUGAAUUGCAGAAUUCAGUGAAUCAUCGAAUCUUUGAACGCACAUUGCGCCCGCCAGCAUUCUGGCGGGCAUGCCUGUUCGAGCGUCAUUUCAACCCUCAAGCACUGCUUGGUGUUGGGGCUCUACGGUUGACGUAGGCCCCCAAAACUAGUGGCGGACCCUCUCGGAGCCUCCUUUGCGUAGUAACUUUUGUCUCGCACUGGGAUUCGGAGGGAUUCUAGCCGUUAAACCCCCAAUUUUCUAAAGGUUGACCUCG